rnacentral:rRNA from 1 species
GAUUAGAGUUUGAUCAUGGCUCAGGAUGAACGCUAGCGGCAGGCCUAAUACAUGCAAGUCAAGGGGUAGCAAUACACCGGCGGACGGGUGCGUAACGCGUACACAACAUACCUUUAAGCGGGGGAUAGCAUUGGGAAACUGGUGGUAAUACCCCAUAACAUUGCGAGUUGGCAUUAAUUUGCAAUUAAAGUUUCGGCGCUUAAAGAUUGGUGUGCGUCUGAUUAGCUAGUUGGCGGGGUAACGGCCCACCAAGGCGACGAUCAGUAGGGGGUGUGAGAGCAUGACCCCCCACAUGGGUACUGAGACACGGACCCAACUCCUACGGGAGGCAGCAGUAAGGAAUAUUGGACAAUGGGCGGAAGCCUGAUCCAGCCAUGCCGCGUGAAGGAUGAAGGCGCUCAGCGUUGUAAACUUCUUUUGGAUGGGGACAAUAAUCUCGAUUUAUCGGGACUUGAGGGUACCAUCAG